UACAGAGGUCUCGAGCGUUGUUCGGAUUCAUUGGGCGUAAAGGGUGCGUAGGCGGCGUGGCAAGUCUGAUGUGAAAUCCCGGGGCUCAACCCCGGAACUGCAUUGGAUACUGCCAUGCUAGAGUACUGGAGAGGAGAUUGGAAUUUACGGUGUAGCAGUGAAAUGCGUAGAUAUCGUAAGGAAGACCAGUGGCGAAGGCGAAUCUCUGGACAGUUACUGACGCUGAGGCACGAAGGUCAGGGGAGCAAACGGG
rnacentral:rRNA from 1 species